rnacentral:lncRNA from 1 species
AUUCCUUCAAUGCUAACAUUCACUGGACAAGCUAUAGAAAUAUUGUGGGUAAACUUUGUUAGCAGUGAAUAAAGUACUUUCACAAGUAUAAAGCAAGUGUUUGGUAAUUUUCCAAAAGACCUUCUAACCUAUCCUCUCAUUUCUCUACCUUUCCUGCACACCAGAGACCUCCAAUCCUAUCUUCGUUAAAUGAUGCAGCUUCUGGCCAGCCCAGAAAACAGUGCGAGGACUGGAGGGAAGAAACUGACUCAGGUGGAGGACAGGGCAUUAGAAAACGAAGGGCUGGGCUACUUCACUGUAAAAAGGAGCUAUUAGGGAAGGAAGGCCUUUUUUUCCCCUUAAUUCUUUAAGAUGCUUCUCCAGAGCUUAAGGACAACAGGAAACCAGCCUCCAAAAAGGACAGUUGUGAUACUUCACUCCCUCAUGACUCUACCACCUUUUUCUGCCUGACUCACGGGAUUAACUGUCUCAUCCUGUUCUGGGGCUCUUCCAUUUGCAGUCCCCAAAGGCGAUGAAGCUGAGAACUCAGGACCCUUAUCCUUGGUGGUGAAUUAGCCAUGUUGACAUUCAUGGUUCAAAAUGUAUGCACCCCUACCCUGGCAAGACCUGGAGGCUGGAGUCCAACCAAGCCUUGUUGUAAACCAGGAUUGACCGCCUUCAACAUCAUCCCUCUGGGAAGCCAGCUUCUUUAAUGAAGAGACAGCUCUACGCUGGCACAAACUCUUACAAAGAAUAGAGAAAGGGGAGAUUUUUCCAACUCAUUUUGUGAGGCCAGAAUAACUUUGCAAUAUCCUUUUCAGGUUUUUGUAUCAAAAAAGGAAAACCACUGCUCCAUCUCAUUUAUAAACAGUAACACAAAUAUUCUUUUUUUUCUUAAGGUUUUCUUUUUCCUUUUUCUCCCCAAAGCGCCCCAGUACAAAAUUGUGUAAUUUUUUUAGUUGUGGGUCCUUCCAGUUGUAACACAAAUAUUCUAAAUGAAAUAUUAGGAAAUCAAAACCAGCAAUAUAUGUAAAAAAAAAAAAAAAAGGAAAUAUAUUAAGAACCAAACUGAGUGUAUCCUAGGGAUGAGUCAAUGUAACUCCAUGCAUUAAAAGAAUAAAAGAAAAAAAUUUUAUGAUCAUCUCAAAAAAUGUAGAAAAGGCAUUUGAUAAAAGUUCAAUAGUCAUUCAUGCUAAAAACAAUUUUAUCCGCUCAUAAGGAUCUUGCCAUCUGCCUCUGGAUCCAACCUCUAAGUCAAUCUGUCCAACAAGAAUCAAACGAUUUUAAUUUGUGUGUAAAAUAUCAUGGACUAGUAGUCCCACAAUAGUCCCAAUAACAAAAAGGUAACUGUCCUCACGUUUAGAGAGGGAGGAGGUGGAGAGGGGGAAAGGAAGAAAGAGAGAUACUGUGG